UACGGGGGGGGGCAAGCGUUGUUCGGAAUUACUGGGCGUAAAGGGUCGUAGUGCGUGCGCUAAGUACUAACGUGAAAUCCCUCAGCUUAACUGGGGAACUGCGUCCGAUACUGGAUGGCUUGGAUUUGGGAGAGGGAUGCGGAAUUCCAGGUGUAGCGGUGAAAUGCGUAGAUAUCAAGAGGAACACCAGUGGCGAAGGCGGCUACCUGGACCGGUUCUGACGCUGAUGCGCGAAAGCGUGGGUAGCAAACAGG
rnacentral:rRNA from 1 species